rnacentral:misc_RNA from 1 species
AUGAUCUUUUUUUCCUUUGGGAAAAAAUAGGAUUGCCCGGUUUAUUUUACUAAUUCGACUGAACCAAACAAGAAAUUUGUUAAUUAGAAACAACUUUCAGCAAUGGAUCUCUCGGCUUUCGUAUCGAUGAAGAACGCAGCAAAUCGCGAUAUGUAGUGUGAUCUGCCCAUAGUGAAUCAUCAAAUUUUUGAACGCAUCUUGCACCCUUGGGUAUUCCUGAGGGUACGCCUGUUUCAGUAUCAUUCUAACUUCUUCUCCCUAUGAUUGGGGAUUGGAAAAAUCACCAUUGGCUUGGUAUGACGCGUUUUUUACACGUUUGCUUGGCUUGAAUAAAACUCGGUUUUAAACUGGGUAAUUACCUUUUGGUAGUGAAUUCUGCAAAAAGUACAACUUUCCUAUAAUAAAACUCGGGCUUUAUGCCCAACUUUCAUAAACUUGAUCGGAAAUCAGGGGGGAUUACCC